rnacentral:rRNA from 1 species
GACGAACGCUGGCGGCGUGCCUAAUACAUGCAAGUAGAACGCACAGGAUGCACCGUAGUUUACUACACCGUAUUCUGUGAGUUGCGAACGGGUGAGUAACGCGUAGGUAACCUGCCUGGUAGCGGGGGAUAACUAUUGGAAACGAUAGCUAAUACCGCAUAAGAACAUUUACUGCAUGGUAGAUGUUUAAAAGGUGCAAAUGCAUCACUACCAGAUGGACCUGCGUUGUAUUAGCUAGUUGGUGAGGUAACGGCUCACCAAGGCAACGAUACAUAGCCGACCUGAGAGGGUGAUCGGCCACACUGGGACUGAGACACGGCCCAGACUCCUACGGGAGCAGCAGUAGGGAAUCUUCGGCAAUGGGGGAACCCUGACCGAGCAACGCCGCGUGAGUGAAGAAGGUUUUCGGAUCGUAAAGCUCUGUUGUUAAGGAGAACGUGUGUGAGAGUGGAAAGUUCACACAGUGACGGUACUUAACC